GAGAGGGUGAGGUGGUAGAGAGGCUGGGGGUGACGGGGUAGUCCUGCUCCAUGUUCUACGGGGACAGUAACCCUGAUCUGGGGGACCGGCGCUGGGCUGGAUAAUGUUAGUGUUGAACCGCGGGUCUAAAUGUUGACGUUGAACAGAGAAAGAGAAAGAGGAGGACGAAGAUUCAUGUUGGGUUCCCUCAACGAGGGUUAGUUAGUUGGUGUACUACGUAGUUGGUUUACUGGGUGGUGUACUGUAGGUGGUGUACUGGGUGGUUUACUGGGUGGUGUACUAGGUGGUGUACUGGGUGGUGUACUGUAGGUGGUGUACUGGGUGGUGUACUGUAGGUGGUUUACUGGGUGGUGUACUAGGUGGUGUACUGGGUGGUGUACUGUAGGUGGUGUACUGGGUGGUGUACUGUAGGUGGUUUACUGGGUGGUGUACUAGGUGGUGUACUGGGUGGUGUACUGUAGGUGGUGUACUGGGUGGUGUACUGUAGGUGGUUUACUGGGUGGUGUACUGUAGGUGGUGUACUGGGUGGUGUAGGGGUCUUUGUUUUAUAGCAGGAAGUUCUCCAUCCCUCCACUGGGAAUGCUCCCACUAUUGUUCCCAGCGUUCACUUUGUUCGCCGUUCCUUUUUGGGUAUCAUUUUGUGUAUGUGUGUGUUGGGGGUGUGGGGGUAUGUGUGUGUGUGUGUGUGUGUGCGUAUAGGUGUGUGUGUGCGUAAGUGUGUUGAGGAUUAUCAAAGUAAGUCAGCGUAGUAAUUCUUCCCCACUUUUUGAAUGACCGCGAGUGAUGUGGGUGGGGCUGGAAAAUGUGUUGAAAUGAAGGAAGAUUACGUUGGAAUGCAGAAAAAAAAACUGUUUUUGAUGACUAACAGAUCAGCCGUGUGAAUGAACUCCCCUGAACCUUCCUGUCCUUCUCGAACCCGGAGCGAAGCUUCGUGACGUCCGUCUUUGAUGUGUUAUGAAGUCGGGAGGCUCUUCUUGUGUUUUGCACGAAAGAGAGUGUUUAAUGGGGGGCUGUUUGUAGAGUUUUCUCUGGUCCUCAUGUGGCUCUCAGGGGCCCACCCGGGUGGCACCAGACGGAGACCGUGAGUCACAACCAUGUGGCGGCACGCGGUGUGACACGCACACACACACGCACGCACACACACACACAUACACACACACACACACACACACACACACAAACACACGCACACACACACACACACACACACACACACACACACACACACACACACACACACACAUCCAUCUUACAGUUCACUGUUUUCGAAGAUUUCAAACUGAUUAAAACAUUCCAAUCUAACAUCCAACUUUGUCGAAGGGUAGUGCAGCUCCUAUCUGAACUCUGUUGUGUGUGACAUGUCUCCUAGCUGCUAGAAAUGCGCAUUACUGAAGUGGCGUGACAUUUUCUUUACAUACAUCGCACAUGGCUGCCAAGAAAAAGAAGAAAAGGGGGACAAGAGUCACAUGACCCCAAACUGGGUGGGGCUUGUGGAGUCUGGACUCUGGUCCUCAGUGGGUCUGGACGCUCUGCUGGUUCCCAGAGCCAUUGGGUCUGGUCUAUGCUGCUCUGGUCUAGGGAUGGGCAUUUGAAGGCAUAUCAGUGUUCGAAUAUCCGAUAAAAAGAAUUUGAGUAACUUGUUAACCGCUUAAAAAAAAAAGAAAUGUGUACCUCACUCAUAAUGUAGCCUGAAGUUCUUCCAAGAUCUGGCCUUCACUAAACAAAUGCAUUCGUUUUCCAUCUAUUAGUCAAAUAAAUAAGGAAAUCAAAUCCAAUUUGUUCAAUUUAUUUAGCAUUUUAGAAGGAAAAAGACACUCGAAAUCAGUAUGCUGAAUUGAAACAAGUUGAAACGAAACCAUAAUUUUUGACAAGAAUAUGAAUGAACAGUAUUGCAUACUUAAGGCACAAGCUGAAAUUAGAUUAAAGAAAAUUUAAGGCACAAACUGAAUAGAUUGAAGUAACUGAAGCACAACAGCAAAAAGCAUAAAUACUGGUGGGCUUGGAUAUCAACAGAAAUCCACUUGCAAUGCAUGGGCCUGCCUCACAUUACACAAGAUGCGCAUAUAACAGAACAUCAACAAAAAUAUAUUAUGUGUAAGACGGAAAUACAGUAUGUCUAAAACAUUUCCAGUUAACAACAUAACACAUAAGCCCACCUACUGCAUCACUCAUUCUUGUUAAAAAAAAUGAGCAUAUCUACGUGCUCGGGGAUAGGCGGGUGUGGAGGCGAUUUACAAUCAAGCCCGCCGGGGAAAAGACUCUCCGCUGGAACGGAGGUUGCCGGUAUGGCCAUGUAUUCCAAGUAUUAAAUGGCGUUAGUAUACACGUUUAAUGAAAAAUAUGUAAUUAAUAUAGCUAAUGAAUAUAUUUAAUUAACUGUAGGCAAAAAUAAAAUAAAAAUCUGCUACAGCUACAGUCGAAUACCCACGUCAUUUCGAAUAACCGAAUACUUGAAUAACCGUGGCCAUCCCUAGUCUGGUCUCUCUGCUGGUCCUCAGAGCCAGUGGGUCUGGUCUCUGCUGGUCUGGUCUCUCUGCUGGUCCUCAGAGCCAGUGGGUCUGGUCUCUCUCUGCCCGCAGCCUGUCUGAGUCACCAGGGAAGGUUGAGAAGAGGAAAGUGUUUCUCAAGGAAACCUGGAAACGAAACAGCGGCUCUGGAGAAACCCAGAAGAAAAGAGGAAGGAGGAGAAGGGAGAGUCAGAGAGACAAGAGACAGGGAGUCAGAGGAGAGACAGGCAGUCAGAGGAGAGACAGGCAGUCUGAGGAAAGACAGGCAGUCAGAGGAGAGACAGGCAGUCGGAGGAGAGACAGGCAGUCGGAGGAGAGACAGGCAGUCGGAGGAGAGACAGGGAGUCAGAGGAGAGACAGGCAGUCAGAGGAGAGACAGGCAGUCUGAGGAGAGACAGGCAGUCGGAGGAGAGACAAGGAGUUGGAGGGGAGACCAACCAGAGACGCGGGAUUCUGGACCUUUAGAACAGAUAAACAUCGGCACUCAGACACGUCUUAAUCUCAAAUGUUUGGCUAGAAAACGAUAUCUACAAACGUCUGCAUCUCAAACGUUUGAGUGCUCCACAUCCAGAGUCUAGAAAGGCUGGGGAAGCUUGUUUUCCAUCUGAGCGGCAGCUAAGAGGGGCGCUUGUUUACUGGGGGGAGGCUGAGGCUCCGCCUGCUGUGCCCACAAACAAUCCCCAACCUCCCCCAGACGAACCCCACCCAGACGGGCCCCAGCGAGGGAGGGGGGGGCCUUUCUGCCCGCCACACAAUCUUAAUGAUUACAUCCUGCCAAUCACAUAAAGCCUCUCUCUCUCUCUCCACCAGAGGGGUGGGCGGGAGGGAAAGCAUGUGGUCAGGGAGAGAAAAAACACAUAGUUCGACCUUCAGUCCCUCCCCUCCCCCGCUACAAAUUCCCUCCCUCCACCCCUCCUCCCCCAACCCCUCCUCCUCCUCCUCCCUCACCAAGGAUUUUUCCUCUCAUUCGCUCAUCUGCUAAUUUCUUUCCACUGUCGUCCGCUCCUCAUCUGGUUGCGAUUACCUCCGUCUAGCGCCGAGUCCUCCUCCAUGGCUCGCCUCCCCUCUCCUGCUCCCCUCUCCUUCUCCCCGCUCUCUCCCUCGCUCUGCACAUCUGUGUUCGCGUUCCCGUCGCUUUACAGCGCUCCAAAGCCGUCACAUUCCUCUUGUUGUUCCACAUAAUCGAACCUAUUCUUCCUAUCGGCCUCCUGAUCUUUAUGUGUCCUGUGUGGGGACCGGAUCUGCAAGGCCGUUUUUCUAUUGUUGGGUCCGAGUAAACUUAGAACUCAGGAAGUCAUUGUCUUCCUUCUCUGUGGUGAAGCGUUCUUUUUACACACGGUGACAAUGAGGUAAGAUUUAACCCUGAGGUGGACCAGGAUCUUUGUGGGCCCCGCCCCCACCCCGCCCCCCACCCAUAGAUACUUCACUAAUUAAUGGUGACUUGCUUUAACUUCCUACACGACGUGGAACCAUCAGAGACGACUUCUCAGUCUGUUCCUGGGUGUUUGGAGGCUGGGAGGGGCGUUCAGCAUUCAUCUUGUUUAAUAGGAGGAUAAAGUCAGCGUUAAUGAACAACUGUUCCUCCUCAUCGUUCACCGCUGCCCCUCUCAGCCAGUUGGCGUCGUGGGGUUUCAUAUGGAAACAUAAGACGUGAUUCUGCUGCGGUAGCUCUGAGCUUCACUUCUCUGUGCAACAGCAGAGUUAAUGUUUGACAGCAGUUUAACUAUCUGCUGUAUUUUAGACCUAAAACCUUGGAGCCUCUGCUUCUGUUGCAAUACACUAUUUAUGCCAUUUUCAUUGACCUGAUUUAGUCGUUAAAAAGAUUUGGUGUUGCGAUGACCCUACCGGUCAAUAUUGAAAUAGAAUAGGUUAAAAAGAUGGAAAAAACAUUUUUAUCAUUUUUUGAUUUUAAAAGAUGCUUGUAUUUCCCCCCAGGCAAAUUUAAAGCACUUACAAAUGGUCUAAUUUCUUAAUUACCAAAUAAUUGUGCUAUUUCAUCCAAAGUAUUGGAUGAAGGAGGAGGAGCAGGAGGUUGAGAAGGAGGGAGGAGGGGAGGAGGGGAGGAGGGGAGGAGGGGAAGGAGGAGGGGAAGGAGGAGGAGCAGGAGGAAGAUAAUAUGAUUAAGAGAGCAAAUGGCAUCUAAGGAAGCUGGGAGGGGUGAUCUGUGGGUGAGGGAGGGGGAGGAAAGGCGUGGCCAUUUGUCCCACUACCCCCCCCCCCACCCCCACCCCCCCAACCCUAAGCAACAGUCUGUCCAAUGAUGUCAUUUAUGGGAAUUGAUAGGUCUGGUGGGGUGAGAUAAAGAGAGGGGGAGGGAGAGAGAGAGAGAGAGAGAGAGAGAGAGAGAGAGAGAGAGAGAGAGAGAGAGAGAGAGAGAGAGAGAGAGAGAGAGAGAGAGAGAGAGAGAGAGAGAGAGAGAGAGAGAGA